GGGGGGGUUGCCCGUGAAAACCCAUAGUCAGGAAAGGGAAAGAGAAAUGGCUGCUCUCUCCGGAAAACAGACUCAGGGCUGGCAUUGAUGGGCGGGCAACUUUGGUCACCUGGCAGGAGUGAGAUUUUCCGACUCUGGGCCUGAGUGCGACUUGGAUGGACAUAUCUAGGAAAGCUGGUGGAAGAGGUGUUGGCAUAACCAACAGGGAAGCUUUUCCCAUCGUCUGGGUGGAUCGCAGUUGCAGCGAGGGGGACACUUUGCUGUAAAAAUGGUAAUGAAUGAAAUGUAAAAGUUCAGCCGGCCUUGAGAACAGCCCUAACUAGACAGAUGUUGAUAUAAAUUUGGUAUUAUUAUUGACAAUUAAGCAUUAUUAUAUGUUUCAUUUAAAGCAAUAUCAACCUGCAGGUGCUGUUUUUAUUUUCUUAAUAUCUUUUGUAUUUAUUUUUUCUUUUUUUGCAAUUUUGGUGUCAUCCAGCAGGGGGCAGUAUAAACUUAUAAAUAGUUAUUCCUCGAGCCAACGCCUGCAGUUAGGAAUGGUGGGCUUGUCCCAAAGGAAACCACUUUCUGAGAUUCAUUUUAAUAUGUCAUCACCUUAAGCCCCCAUAAACAGCUUUGGGCUAUGCUGAAAUGUCAUCUGAGGCUGU